GGGGAAUUAGCUCAGCUGGGAGAGCGCUUGACUGGCAGUCAAGAGGCCAGGGGUUCAAGUCCCCUAUUCUCCACCA
rnacentral:tRNA from 2 species